rnacentral:rRNA from 1 species
GACGAACGCUGGCGGCGCGCCUAACACAUGCAAGUCGAACGGAGUCACGAGGAGCUUGCUUUUCUUGACUUAGUGGCGAACGGGUGAGUAACGCGUGAGUAACCUGCCCUGGAGUGGGGGACAACAGUUGGAAACGACUGCUAAUACCGCAUAAGCCCACGGAUCCGCAUGGAUCUGCGGGAAAAGGAUUUAUUCGCUUCAGGAUGGACUCGCGUCCAAUUAGCUAGUUGGUGAGGUAACGGCCCACCAAGGCGACGAUUGGUAGCCGGGCUGAGAGGUUGAACGGCCACAUUGGGACCGAGACACGGCCCAGACUCCUACGGGAGGCAGCAGUGGGGGAUAUUGCACAAUGGGGGAAACCCUGAUGCAGCGACGCCGCGUGGAGGAAGAAGGUUUUCGGAUUGUAAACUCCUGUCGUUAGGGACGAUAAUGACGGUACCUAACAAGAAAGCACCGGCUAACUACGUG